GAACACAGCAGGCCGACGUUUCGGGCCUAGACCCUUCUUCAGAAAUGGGGGUGGGAGGGGAUGGUGGAAGGUGGAUAAAGGAGCAGAUAGGUGGAAAGAAGACGGACAGGUCAAGGAGGCGGGGAUAGAGCCAGUAAAGAUUCUUAGAUACUGAAGAAAUCAUCAAUCCCUGCCUUAAAUGGGAUGGGACGCAUCCAAGGAUAUCGAUGAAAGUAGUGAUGGAAAUUUCAGAGACACUGGUCAUUUUCUUCUAAUCCUUUUUAUAUACAGGGAUGGUGGGCAAAGGACUAGAAAUUGAAAAUGUUAAUUCCAGCAAAGUUGAAGCCUAUGGAAUAAAAGGUAAAGUGACAGUAUAGAUAUGAGAGAUAAGUAGGAACUACAGAUGCUGGAGAAUCCGAGACAACAAGGUGCAGGGCUGGAUGAACACAGCAGGCCAAGCAGCAUCAUAGGAGCAGAGAGGCUGACGUUUCGGGCCUAGACCCAUGAAAUUGGCCAAGAUCAGGCUCAUAGAUUUAGUGAGCCUGAAAAGUGUACUGGAAAGAGAAAACCAAGCUAACAGUGAGCAGAAUUCAAUCAACUGUGAGUUGAAACAGGGAUCAAAGAUUUAAAUUUAGGUAAGAUAUACUUUGGAGAAAUGAAGCAAAAAUUCACCACAAUAGAAUUGUGAAGAACGAGAAUCAUAGAUUAGUUACUGCACAGGAAGAAGCCACUUAGCUCAUCAAUCUCAUGUUUCAGCUGGUGCCAUUCCCUUGCACUUUCCAUUAGACUCAUUCAUGCUUACUACUCAUUAUGAAAUCUACACUCUUGCUAGGAUUGAAUAAAUAUCAGCUUUUGUCUGAUUAUGUACUGAUCCAAUCAUAACUUUGAAAAGGGCAUUGAAUAACAUCUGGACAGAAGAUAUUGCAGGGCUAUGGGAAAGGACUGGCAAGUGUGACUAGCUAAACUGCCAUUGUAGAGUGCCAUCAUAGGCAUGACAUGUCAGAUGGUCUCCUUCUGUGCUAUAACCAUUCUAUGAUUCGAAAACUCUUGGAAUUCUGGAGCUCUCCCCAAAACGUUCUUGAAGCUGGGCUUUGAAUUACCUAAAAAUCUCAAAACUGUGAUCGUAGAUUUUUGUCAGAUAAGAGUAUUUUAAGGAAUAUCAAAGUAAGGUAGGUGGAUGGAGUUAAUAAACAAAUCAGCAGUUGUGAUCUAACUGAAUGUCAGCAGAUCAGGUUUGAUGGGCCAAAUGAUCUCUUCCUGUUGUAAAUAGUUUGAUUCCAAUAUCCAAAUGGUUUUCAACAUACUCUGUUUAUUGUACUUAACCAAGACCAGACAUGCACAAUGCAUUUGACCAGUAGAUACACAGAGAAAUGAACAAUAUUACUGCAUUGCCCCAGAUAGGGUUGCAACUUUGCUGAACCUGACCCUAUGCAAAAAACUUCAGAAUUUUAUAGUUUAUUUCUCACCAUCAUUGUUGAUUCACUUUGGCAAGACAAGUGUUAUUGUACAGAAGAAGGUAUAUUUUCUUGAAAAAAAAAGACAACUUGGCUAUCACCUGGGAUUUAAAUUGAUAUCCCGGGUUCCACUGUCCCACUUUGUAUCUCAGGACUGUCUCAGCUAUCUAACUUCACAAAAAAUGAAUAAAGAUGUGCAUUUUAGCAAAAUCUAACAGCAAAGUCAUUUGGAUUGUACUUUGGCGCAUUAAAUUCCAAAGCAUCCUGCUAAUGAACUUUCCCAAUUCCAUUAGAUGCAGUUACAGUAAAAAUCUACAGCUGCCUAGUAGUGAAAUUCAAGUAAAAGCUUUAACCAUAUGAAAUGUAAACCGAAUCCUAACCUUACGUACAUAACAUAAUGAGACUAUCUUAUACUUUUACUACCAAUAUCUAUGGCAAACAGUGACAUGAUAACGGUCAGAAGUGAGAGAUAGAACACUUCCAAUAUCAAUGGACUUGCAUCCUAUUGACGGUCAGCACCUGCAGGCAGGUAGGACACCUCUAUUUCAAUUGGAGUCAGCAACCUCAGGAGAGGAGGGGACCGCCAUCCAGUUGGAAUCAGCACCUUCAGGAGAAGAGUGGACCAGCAUCCAACCAGUGACAGUCAGCAUCCGCAGAGAGGAGGAAACAUAUAUAUUCCAGUGACAGCAGCUUCAGGAGAGGAGAAUCUUUCUGUUGAGUUUUGAGAAAGGCAGUACUGACAUAAAGUGAGGCAGGAGAGAUUCUGAUAGUGUGUCUGCUUAUUUUUCAACAUUUUUGUUUAAUUUUUCAGAAAUUAUGUUUCUAAGUGACAGUAAUUAACAAAACAUGUCAAAUAAAAUAUGAUAACAUGCA